UCCUGACUGACCGAUAGUGAACCAGUACCGUGAGGGAAAGGCGAAAAGAACCCCGGCGAGGGGAGUGAAAAAGAACCUGAAACCGUGUACGUACAAGCAGUGGGAGCACGCUUAGGCGUGUGACUGCGUACCUUUUGUAUAAUGGGUCAGCGACUUAUAUUCUGUAGCAAGGUUAACCGAAUAGGGGAGCCGAAGGGAAACCGAGUCUUAACUGGGCGUUAAGUUGCAGGGUAUAGACCCGAAACCCGGUGAUCUAGCCAUGGGCAGGUUGAAGGUUGGGUAACACUAACUGGAGGACCGAACCGACUAAUGUUGAAAAAUUAGCGGAUGACUUGUGGCUGGGGGUGAAAGGCCAAUCAAACCGGGAGAUAGCUGGUUCUCCCCGAAAGCUAUUUAGGUAGCGCCUCGUGAAUUCAUCUCCGGGGGUAGAGCACUGUUUCGGCAAGGGGGUCAUCCCGACUUACCAACCCGAUGCAAACUGCGAAUACCGGAGAAUGUUAUCACGGGAGACACACGGCGGGUGCUAACGUCCGUCGUGAAGAGGGAAACAACCCAGACCGCCAGCUAAGGUCCCAAAGUCAUGGUUAAGUGGGAAACGAUGUGGGAAGGCCCAGACAGCCAGGAUGUUGGCUUAGAAGCAGCCAUCAUUUAAAGAAAGCGUAAUAGCUCACUGGUCGAGUCGGCCUGCGCGGAAGAUGUAACGGGGCUAAACCAUGCACCGAAGCUGCGGCAGCGACGCUUAUGCGUUGUUGGGUAGGGGAGCGUUCUGUAAGCCUGCGAAGGUGUGCUGUGAGGCAUGCUGGAGGUAUCAGAAGUGCGAAUGCUGACAUAAGUAACGAUAAAGCGGGUGAAAAGCCCGCUCGCCGGAAGACCAAGGGUUCCUGUCCAACGUUAAUCGGGGCAGGGUGAGUCGACCCCUAAGGCGAGGCCGAAAGGCGUAGUCGAUGGGAAACAGGUUAAUAUUCCUGUACUUGGUGUUACUGCGAAGGGGGGACGGAGAAGGCUAUGUUGGCCGGGCGACGGUUGUCCCGGUUUAAGCGUGUAGGCUGGUUUUCCAGGCAAAUCCGGAAAAUCAAGGCUGAGGCGUGAUGACGAGGCACUACGGUGCUGAAGCAACAAAUGCCCUGCUUCCAGGAAAAGCCUCUAAGCAUCAGGUAACAUCAAAUCGUACCCCAAACCGACACAGGUGGUCAGGUAGAGAAUACCAAGGCGCUUGAGAGAACUCGGGUGAAGGAACUAGGCAAAAUGGUGCCGUAACUUCGGGAGAAGGCACGCUGAUAUGUAGGUGAAGUCCCUUGCGGAUGGAGCUGAAAUCAGUCGAAGAUACCAGCUGGCUGCAACUGUUUAUUAAAAACACAGCACUGUGCAAACACGAAAGUGGACGUAUACGGUGUGACGCCUGCCCGGUGCCGGAAGGUUAAUUGAUGGGGUCAGCGCAAGCGAAGCUCUUGAUCGAAGCCCCGGUAAACGGCGGCCGUAACUAUAACGGUCCUAAGGUAGCGAAAUUCCUUGUCGGGUAAGUUCCGACCUGCACGAAUGGCGUAAUGAUGGCCAGGCUGUCUCCACCCGAGACUCAGUGAAAUUGAACUCGCUGUGAAGAUGCAGUGUACCCGCGGCAAGACGGAAAGACCCCGUGAACCUUUACUAUAGCUUGACACUGAACAUUGAGCCUUGAUGUGUAGGAUAGGUGGGAGGCUUUGAAGUGUGGACGCCAGUCUGCAUGGAGCCGGCCUUGAAAUACCACCCUUUAAUG
rnacentral:rRNA from 1 species